GGAGCAUGUGGUUUAAUUUGAUACAACGCGCAAAACCUUACCAGCCCAUGACGUAUGAACAACAAAACCUGUCCUUAACAGGAUGGUACUGACUUUCAUAUAGGUGAUGCGUGGCUGUCGUCAGCUCGUGUCGUGAGAUGUUUGGUCAAGUCCUAUAACGAGUGAAACCCUCGUGUGUGUUGCUGAGACAUGCGCCUAAGGAGAAAUUGCCACCGAGUGACGUGCCAGCGCUACUACUUGAUUGAGUGCCAGCACGUAGCUGUGCUUUCAGCAAGAAUUUCACCAUUGGGAGCAGUGCCUUUCGAAGCACUUUCACGUGUGAACCAAAGUCGUCUUGCCCAAGACCCACGGAGACCUACCUAUAGUGACGUCAAAGUACUAGUGAGCAUGGAGGUUUGGUUGAAAUUGGUUACGAUGACGUCGAGUAGGCGGCGGAGGAAGACUCGGCAUGAAGGCCAGAAAAUGGUGUGGAACGUAGUGGUAAUAGUACGUGCCCCACUCCGAAACAAAGAAAAAGGUGCGUGCCGCACUCACGAGGGACUGCCAGUGAGAUACUGGAGGAAGGUGGGGAUGACGUCAAGUCCGCAUGGCCCUUAUGGGCUGGGCCACACACGUGCUACAAUGGCAAUGACAAUGGGAAGCAAGUGUAACACCCCGGAUGUAACUUUCCAUAUGUAACUCCAACUCUUGCCAUUUUCGGCUAUGUGUUAUGGUAUUCCCUUCGUGGUCG
rnacentral:rRNA from 1 species